CCUCUCUCAGGAUCGGCCCUGGAGAGUUCCCAAUAGUCUACCAGUUUCGAUUAUGGGAGGAAGAGUCAAGCAGAAGCCUACCCAUUCCAUUCCUAGCUUGGCCAGUGGCUAGCGAGGGGGAGGCAAUCUGCUACACCU
rfam:Ornithorhynchus anatinus chromosome 2, whole genome shotgun sequence.